GGAAUAUAGGUAGCUUGCCCUUCGGUUAGACCCUGCUCAGGUCUCUAUACAUUUGAAUGAAGUAGUUUUGGUGUAUAGAUCAUGCCUCUGCAGUCUCACGUCUCAGCCCCUAUUUAAAGUACCUCUGUCACGACAAGAUUUUGCAUAUUUUAUAUUCCCUUAUUUCUUCACAUUAAAAAAGCAUGCUGUGUUAUAAAAAAUAAAUAUAAAGAAGUUUUAACUUCCUAAACUUUUGCAGGCUGAUGCAUUCUUCUCAC